GUAGCAAGAAAAUACCACUCAAAUGUGAUCAAUUUGCUAUUUUAUUGUCGGUCCUCAAUGAUUUCUCUUUUAACACAAAUGCUUAGAAAUAAUCAAGAGAAAUUCAUAAUAAGCUACUUAUUUCCAAAAACACCAAUGAAAACGUGCAUAUUGACUAUAAACAAUAUUUAAGACUAAACCACAUAUGUCUUAAAAACUUAAUAUAUAUCUCAUGACAUACCAUUAAUUAAUGAGCAAAUAUAAACAAAUAUAAUAUCACAAAUGAUGAUCAUCAAAUAAUUAUAUAUUUCCAUCUCAAACAAAUAUUGAUUAUAUGGACAAAAUAAUAUAUAAUUGCUCAAAAGAGUUAAUUACGAAACCAAGCUACCACUAAUCAAAAACAUUAAAAGAUUCCACAACACCCAUGUAGAGGGAUCUUUUACACGCUAAGUGCACUGUGCAGUGUAUUGGUUUAUUAAAAUGGAGGAAUAAUUCAAAUUGUUCUGAAAUUACUAAUACAAACUACUGUUGUGUCUUGAUCAAACAGAAAAUGAUAUAUGAUUUAGUAGUAAAGGAAUUCACUACAAAAGUUUAAGAAUCACUUUGUUUUUUGAAAUUAUUAGAUUAAUAAAGUUUUCACAUGCCAGUCCAAGAAAGACAAAUAAAUAAAUAGAUAAAUACAUAAUGGAUUUUUUUUUUUUGGAGAUUGAAAUAUACGUGGAAAUUGGGAAAAGAAGGACUAAAGACCCUUGAUAGCUUCAUGAUUUAUGAGUUAAUAGCGUACAUUUAUCAAACACAUCCCCAUCAAGCAAAAUGGACAACACCCUAGAUAAUACUUCUUUCAAUUUAUUUGACUAUGCGUUAUGAAAGUAUAUGUUUUUUUUUUUUUUUUUU
rnacentral:misc_RNA from 1 species